GGCAGCGGAGGAGAGAGGGUAGGAGUGUGCGUGCCCCGGUUAGCUGUCAGUGUGACUGAGGUGUGUGGAGGCUGAGGGUGUCGCUCCUGAUCUCUGAGGAACCCAGUGCACCAGGACAAACAACCGUUCGAUCGUGAAGUAUUGAAAUAGAAAUGAAAAUGUAAGUGUAACCUACAGAAAAAAAACCUCUGAAAUACCCAUCAGUUUAACAGAGAAAAGAAA